rnacentral:tRNA from 1 species
GGGCGAAUGGCGGAACUGGUAGACGCGCUACCUUCAGGAGGUAGUGGCCGCAAGGUCGUGGAGGUUCAAGUCCUCUUUCGCCCACCA